rnacentral:lncRNA from 1 species
CAUUGCUCCAUUUUCAUCCUUGGACCAUUGCACACCACAAAUUCACCCUCCUUGUUGUGCAUUUCCCCACUGCCUAAUCUGAUUCUCUAGGGUUUUUGGGGCCUAUAUAUACAUGUUUACAACCCUUGGCAAAGGGUUGAACCUCCCAUAUUCAUCAUUCAUGCAGAAAAUUCGUCCAUACUCACCCUAGGCAGCAAAACACCCCAAAAACACCAUUCUAGUGCCUAGAAAACAUAACAGCCACUCCACCUUAUUCCACCAUCUUUGCCGAGUUCUCUACCACCCUCCAACCAUCAAACACUCCUCCACACUCACCCUAAACCUUUCCAUACCAUUCCCCAUCCAUUCUACACCAUAAAACUACCCAAAACCUGUCCAUAACCCAAUCUGCCGCAUGCAAGGGAAA